rnacentral:lncRNA from 1 species
CUCUGAUUCUUUCCUUUUUUUUUUUUCCCUUUUUUUUUUCCUUUUUGGCCACCCAGAGCCAUAACUGAUUAUUUAUCUAAUCGCAAACAUUAUCAAUCUAUGCAGUAGCAGAUCAACUGUCAAUCUUGAUCACCCACACACACCUGGAAGCGGUACCAGAAGUAAGAGAGUGUCGGGUAUGAGAAUGAAAAUUUAUCUUUUAGAAUUGCUCUUAACAGAAGGGAGAAAAUCUUCAGAAGUCAUCUUCAUAGAUUUUAUUCCUAAAUAUAGAUGCUUUUAAAUUGUUUGAAGAAACCCCUUCAGAAUAUUUGGAGAAGAAUCAACAGGACAGUGAGUCAGACUCCUUCAGCUGUUUCUACUUCUAAAACUCCUAAUUUUGCAAAGUACAUUGGCUGUUUUGGGCUAUUGCUGCAGUGACCUAGUCUGAAUGCUACGCUGGCCAGCUUGCUCCAAGAAUUAAUGGACUUCAAGCCUGGAUAAUGUGUCCCAGAGAAGGUAAAGGAGAAAAAGCACCUUGCUAUACUCGCUUUGCACUUAUUAUUCCACUCCCAUGAAGAUUCCAGGAAGCCACUGGAGCUUCUCUUAUUCUUGACAGUGAAAGUGAGUUGGGAAUGUGGAAGGAUUAACAAGUCCUAGAGACUGAACCUCAGCACCUCUGAAUCCAGUAAAAUCGUUAGCCUUCCCCAUUCCCUGAAGACUGUCUCUAAGUGAUUUUGCCAAAACAAGUCUCUCUACCAGUAGGAGAUUGUCAAGGCUCCAAUUAGUAAAUCCCUAAGCCCCAAAGUCAAUUAUGUGGGUAUGAAAAGUGCUGGAAAACUCUCAUUCCUGGGAAAAGAAAGAAUCAGAUAGGCCAUUAGCCCCACUGGGUGCAUAGAAGGAUUAGAAUCCACCACAAAAAGCAAUGUUCAUGCUUCUACUGAAAUGGAAUAAAGAUGACUGGAUGACUAUACUGUUAGAUCCGUUUCAGUAACUUUCUGAAAGCGACACAAGCCAGCAAAGUACGCUGGAUGUUUAUUCCUCUCUAAAUGGUUCCUCCACUCCUAUGCACUGUAAG